AUUGAACGCUGGCGGCAUGCCCUACACAUGCAAGUCGAACGGCAGCGGGGGAGAAGCUUGCUUUUCCUGCCGGCGAGUGGCGAACGGGUGAGUAAUACAUCGGAACGUGCCCUGUAGUGGGGGAUAACUAGUCGAACGAUUAGCUAAUACCGCAUACGACCUGCGGGUGAAAGUGGGGGACCGCAAGGCCUCAUGCUAUAGGUGCGGCCGGUGUCUGAUUAGCUAGUUGGUGGGGUAAAGGCCUACCAAGGCGACAAUCAGUAGCUGGUCUGGAAGGAGGAGCAUCCGCACGUGAACUGAGACAGGGCCCAGACUCCUACGGGUGGGAGCAGUGGGUAAUUUGGGACAAGGGGCGAAAGCCUGAUCCAGCAAUGCCGCGAGUGUGGAGAAGGCCUUCGGGUUGUAAAGCACUGUUGUCCGGAAAGAAAUGGCUCUGGUUAAUACCUGGGGUCGAUGACGGUACCGGAAGAAUAAGGACCGGCUAACUACGUGCCAGCCGCCGCCGUAA
rnacentral:rRNA from 1 species